rnacentral:ncRNA from 1 species
GGAAACAGCCCAGAACAAGAGUUUAAGGUUCCAAAAUUAUUGUUGAGUGAAAUUAAGGAUGUUUUUUUUUAAUACAAUCAGGAAAUAGGCUUAGAAGCGGCCAUUUUUUGAAGAUCUCGUAACAGAGCACUGAUUAAUUUUUAGAAAAAAAUACCGAAAAUUUAACGGAUCUAAACAAUAUACCGAAACCUU